GCCCGGAGGGCGAGCAAGCGCCUCCUAAGCGCUAGGUCGCAGGUUCGACUCCUGCUCGGGGCG
rnacentral:tRNA from 1 species